rnacentral:pre_miRNA from 1 species
UGUCAUGCUUUUCCACAGCUUUCUUGAACUUCUUAAACUCAUCUCAUGAAUCUUCAUCAUCUCUGAGAUUUGAUUAAGCAUUGAAGUCCAAGAAAGCUGUGGGAAAACAUGGCAA